rnacentral:rRNA from 1 species
AUGAACGCUGGCGGCGUGCCUAAUCCAUGCACGUCGAGCGAACGGACGAGAAGCUUGCUUCUCUGAUGUUAGCGGCGGACGGGUGAGUAACACGUGGAUAACCUACCUAUAAGACUGGGAUAACUUCGGGAAACCGUAGCUAAUACCGGAUAAUAUUUUGAACCGCAUGGUUCAAAAGUAAAAAACGUUUUUGUGUUACCUUUAGAUUGAUCCGCGCUGCAUUAGCUAGUUGGUAAGGUAACGGCUUACCCAGGCAACGAUGCAUAGCCGACCUGAGAGGGUGAUCGGCCACACUGGAACUGAGACACGGUCCAGACUCCUACGGGAGGCAGCAGUAGGGAUUCUUCCGCAAUGGGCGAAAGCCUGACGGAGCAACGCCGCGUGAGUGAUGAAGGUCUUCGGAUCGUAAAACUCUGUUAUUAGGGAAGAACAUAUGUGUAAGUAACUGUGCACAUCUUGACGGUACCUAAUCAGAAAGCCACGGCUAACUACGUG